GAUGAAGAACGUAGCGAAAUGCGAUAAGUAAUGUGAAUUGCAGAAUUCAGUGAAUCAUCGAAUCUUUGAACGCACAUUGCGCCCGCCAGUAUUCUGGCGGGCAUGCCUGUUCGAGCGUCAUUUCAACCCUCAAGCCCUCGGGUUUGGUGUUGGGGAUCGGCGAGCCUUUCUGGCAAGCCGGCCCCGAAAUCUAGUGGCGGUCUCGCUGCAGCCUCCAUUGCGUAGUAGUAAAACCCUCGCAACUGGAACGCGGCGCGGCCAAGCCGUUAAACCCCCAACUUCUGAAUGUUGACCUCGGAUCAGGUAGGAAUACCCGCUGAACUUAAGCAUAUCAAUAAGCGGAGGA
rnacentral:misc_RNA from 1 species